AUACGUAAAACUCUGUUAUUAGGGAAGAACAAAUGUGUAAGUAACUAUGCACGUCUUGACGGUACCUAAUCAGAAAGCCACGGCUAACUACGUGCCAGCAGCCGCGGUAAUACGUAGGUGGCAAGCGUUAUCCGGAAUUAUUGGGCGUAAAGCGCGCGUAGGCGGUUUUUUAAGUCUGAUGUGAAAGCCCACGGCUCAACCGUGGAGGGUCAUUGGAAACUGGAAAACUUGAGUGCAGAAGAGGAAAGUGGAAUUCCAUGUGUAGCGGUGAAAUGCGCAGAGAUAUGGAGGAACACCAGUGGCGAAGGCGACUUUCUGGUCUGUAACUGACGCUGAUGUGCGAAAGCGUGGGGAUCAAACAGGAUUAGAACCCCCGGUAGA
rnacentral:rRNA from 1 species